GGUGGCGGUGGCGGAGGAUACGGCGGCGGUGGCGGAGGAUACGGUGGAGACAGAGGAGGAUACGGCCGAGGUGGCAGAGGAUUCGGUAGCUCACGUGGAGGAUACAACGACAGAGGUGGCACCAGCAGCUUCAGAGGCUCUUAUGGCUCCAGAGGCGGGGACUCGAGGCGUGCCAGGUUCUAGACGAGCAGCGUGAAGAUCAGGAGACAGCCACACGACUGCCGUGGCACUGAUGUGGCUGCCGUGGCACUGAUGUGGCUGCCGUGGCACUGAUGUGGCUGCCGUGGCACUGAUGUGGCUACCGUGACAUUGAUGUGGCACUGAUGGGCUGCCGUGGCACUGUGUGGCCACAAGAAGCAGCUAGUUUUUGCUACAGGCUGUGGUGCUCGUGUUGCUCCUACAGCCCAGGCCAGGUGGCCUCCCAGAUGCAGUUUAUCAUCAACAAAAAUUUAAAGCCUGAAAAUACAAGAUAUUUUUCAUGUAAUGUAACGCUUGCGCUGUCUCGAGGUUUUAUUUUAUUUACUUAUUAUCUUGACACCAUUGACAAUUCACCUAACCUUUUUUAUCAUUAACUUGACGUUCUUGAAAAGAAUGUUAUUGUAUUACCAACUGAAAUAUGUGCGCUAAUAAGCAAGUUUAUAUCGUCUUGCUUGAGUAAAAAUUUGUAUGGCUGAAGUGAUACACGUGCGGAGUGUUGCUGCUGAUCUGUUCCCCGUAAAUUCGUUUAUGUGUC